rnacentral:misc_RNA from 1 species
AAGUCGUAACAAGGUUUCCGUAGGUGAACCUGCGGAAGGAUCAUUAACACGUUCCUACGUAUCCACCCACCGUGCAUUCUAUGUGAGGAGAUGAUCGAUCGAGCAAUUGAUCAAUCGUCCCCUCACGUUCAGAGGGAGGAAUUCGAGAUCACUCUCGUCUGCUUCUCUCUGUUCACACACGUAUUCUCCCCUUGAUACCCUAUAAGUUGUUGAGAAGUAUGAGAGAUUAAUCUCCCUCGUCUUCUAUUGAUUUAUUUCAAUCCACAUACAACUCUUAGCAAUGGAUAUCUUGGUUCUC